UGAGACAUGAAGUGCAGAGGAAAUGCGAC
rnacentral:piRNA from 1 species